GGAGCAGUAGGGCAAGAGGGGAUGGAGGGAAGAAGCUUCUGGAAUUAGUGCUUGGCAGGCCCUGGGCACCGGAAGAAGGGAGGGCAGUGGGAGAUGGGGCAGGGAGACCGUGGGAAGAGCCAGACCCUGUGGGACAGAGGAAGGAUGUUGUCAGAUCACACUUCAGAAAGGCUGUUCCAGUCGGGACUGAGUGGGUUGACCAGUCAAGGUUAAGUGCAGGGAGACCGCUUUUCUGAUCUGUAAAAUGGGGUAAUAUGCCAAUCUCAACAGAGGUGGAACAGAGGUGGAAGGCGAGAGCAGAAGCGGACACACUUUACAGUUUCCAGGUGUCUGUCGUUCAUUCCAACCCAGGGCGCUGGCGGGCUGGAGGCGGGGCCCGCGGUAGCCCCGGAUGUGCGCAGGCGCAGUUCGGCUUUCUCCACCUGCCCGCGUCUGAUCCUGGGUGAACAGUAGCCGUUUCCUGCUCGACGCGGUCUUCUGGCAGGAUUGGCAGCGCCAGAGAGCGAAGGAAGGAAUGAACCAACGGAAGGAACGCUUGGGGCCCAGGCCGCGUUGGGAUACAGCAGUGACGGAGGAGGACUCUUUGUGGGGCGUCACGGGCAUCCCUGGUGGCUGCGGAAGCUUGCGGAGAGUUACUGAUUGAGCAUCUACGGUGUGCCAGGCACUGUAAUAGGCACAAAGGAUACAAGGAUGAGUGAAACACAGCCCUGUUGUAAAGUCACUUUAUUAUCUUAUGAUUGGAAUUAAAGUUGAAUUGAAGUACUUCAUUUCAAAGAUGAAAACAGUAAGUUUCAGGGAGGAGGUGAACAGGAGCUUGAACCAAGACUGUAUGACUCUAGUAAAACACUAGGUGGGUGGGGGCACCUGGGUGGCUCCGUGGGUUAAGUAUCGACUUCAGCUCAGGUCACGAUCUCACGGUUUGUGAGUUUGAGUUCGAGCCCCGUGUGGGGCUCUGCGCUGACAGCUCAGAGCCUGGAGCCUGCUUCAGAUUCUGUCUCCCUCUGUCUCUCUCUGUCCCCUCCCCCACUUUGCGUGUUCUCUCUCUCUCUCAAAAGUAAACAGACAUUAAAAAAAAAACCCACUAGGUGGGUGGGUUAAACCUUUUCAUCCAAGUGACCCUUAAGCACAAGAGAAUAUAAAAUAUUCCCAAAGAUCAGGGGGCAUAGCCUAGAGUGGCCUCUUGCAAGCAAGGGAAUAUUUAUUGUUUCUAAAAUGUCAUGCACAUUUUGCAUUGUUUCAUCUGUCUCUAUAUUUAAAAACACACAUACAUGUUUAGUAUAAAGUCGUGUUUCAAAAAUUAGUUCAUUACUUACCAGUUAAAUUAAUGACCUUUUCCCUCAAAACCUAUAUGUGUAUAAUGGGUACAUGAGGAAAAAGAUCCAUGUUUAAUUGUGGUUUCUCUCCCUUUCUCCACCCCAAAAAUACUCCAAAAGAGAGAGACAUCAGCAAAGCCAAGCUGCUUCUUGAAUCUGUGGCUAAAAAGACACUGCUCUGUGUUGCUGUCUUGAAAUUCUUCAUCAUUUUAUCUUUGUGUUUUGUAUGUGGAGUCUGAAAGGAUAAUAGAGCACUCACCAGGGUCUUGGCAUCUGGGCUCCCACAAUCUGGCCUCCUUGCUUCCCAAGGACAGGUUCUGGGCUGCCGCCUUCUCAACUUCUGGCACACUGGAAAGGGUAGGGGUCAGGCGCACACCCCACAGUGUCUCUGGGGGGGGUGGCAGUGGCUGUGCCUAUCCUGGCUGACCGCACCAGGUACAUUCAGCAGGUGACUUGGCAGGGAUCUCUUACCCACCGCUGAUCCAAAUACCAAGUGCAUCUGGCACAGAGGUUGCAGUCCUCCGGGAGGUUGCCCGAAGCAGUAGGUUGGGGCUGCAGGAAGGAGGCAUUGACUUCCUUGUCCUAGCCAGUCCCAGAACUGGACCUUGACACAUAUCUGCCAACCCCCUUCCCUUGCCCGUGGUCCACAUGGCAGCUCAGAAGAGUCCCUGAAGGUGGAACAGCAAUGGGGAAUGAGCAGUGGGGGUGGGGCUGGAAGGAAGAAGGACUGGAUUGUGGGAGCCUCUCCUACAGUGAUGUGGGAAAGGUGACAGGCCAAAUAUUGGGGGCUUGGUCACUCUUUGUCGAAAUGACACCUGUGGUCUGGCCACAGUGGGGUUUGGAGAGUCUGGAGGUUUAGAGGGUGAGAUUGGAAACAUGCCCACCCCCCCCAGUUCUGUUCUUCACCCAUCACUGUAUUCAUGCCCGUUGCCAUGUGGCUCUGCAGCUCCUCCCAUCAGGAGGUGGCUCUGUUUCCUUCUCUUUGACUCCAGGUUGUCUUGAAACUUGCUUUGGCCAAUAGAAUGUAGGAGAAUCCAUGUGUGUGGAGAAGCCAGAUGUGGCGUAUUGAGUUAGGAAUACAUGAGUUAGAGAGGGUGCCGGCCACUCAUAAUGGGUUGGCAGGUAGCUAGCUCCCUCAACAUCUGAGCUCCCACUUUGGGGAGGUGAACCACUACCCUCGGUUCCACUCCCAGCCCCCCUGAGCCUGGGACGCUGCCCUUGGUCCCCCACACUCCCACACCAUCACUCACUGUCACCCCCGUGCCUCCCCUCAGGCCGGAGCUGACUCAGCCAUAAGACAGGGAAGGGCAAGACUGGCUGCGGGGGGGCCCUGCACCCAAAUCCAGUCUGACUGGAGGCAAGAAGGGGCUGGCUCCCUUUCCUGGGCCUCCUCGCGGUUCAGGUGGUCCAAGUGGCCAGGUGCUUGGCAGGGGACUUCACCCACCAUCUGCCCGUGGUGUGUGUGUGUGUGUGUGUGUGUGUGUGUGUGUGUGUAUGUAGGGGCAGCUGCUGCCCUCCUCACCUCCAGCCCCAUCCUCGGCUCCCCCGCCCCAGCUGGCUAGGGGAUGCUGCAGGAGCUGGCUGCUGACUGCCCUCAUUAAUAUUUAUGACAAGGAGAGGAAGUUGCAUAAAUCUUUCCUGAUACUUAAUUAAACCAAACUUCUUUUGAUUUCCCCUCUUUCUGCCUCACUGAGUGUGGCCAGCAUGCCUAUUAGAUGUUCUUCCUCCCCGAGUGGCCUGGAGUGGACAGAAACCCUCAGCUAUUCUGUGCACCCAGCUUACUUCAGCCAUUAGCUGGGAGCUUGGGGAAGCCUGGGGACCCCAAUGUGCCUUCAUAAGACUGUGCAUGUGGCUUUAGGAAGAGGCUCCUUUCCACUUCUCUGGAGUAGUAGAGAGCUAGGAAGACACUGGCUGCACCCCUCAAAACAGGGGUGCAGACCCUGUUCUAGACCCGAAAGAUGGAGGUUUUAAAGAGUGGCCAGGGGAAGCUGCGGUCUCCCUCCUUCCUGCUGCUCUGACAGGGAAGACGGGGUUAGUCCCAAAGCCACUGAGGAAUAACUGAGUCCCUAGAAAAGCUGGGUCUGGCAGUGUCCCUGCCCCCCCCCCACCACUUACUACAUGGCACCCCAGCCAGAGGACCCCAGUGUCAACCUGGUCAGAGCCCAGAGUCUCCCUGCGCUCUGGAAGCUGGUUAGCACCCGGCUGACAUAUCUUUGAUAUGGAAUCAUAUACAGGAAGCAGCUUGACCCCUGAAGGCCCCUCUUAGCGUGGGAUUGACACCGAGCAUUGACUUUGCUUCAGGCUUAUCCACAAAUCUCAGCCAAUUUUAUUAAAGAGCCGCGUGUGGUGUGGAACAUGCCAGGGAGACAACUUUAUUUAUAGAUCUUGAUCGGCAGAGAGGAGCCCACACUUGAUUUUGUUGGCGCUGGGCCUCAGGUGGGAGGGGGUGAUUGGCAGGUGCACUCCCCGCUGCCCCCCAGCUGCAUGAAGACACUCACAAACACACGAGCGGGCAGGCACGUGGGCAUUAAGCCAGAACAGACGUGUAUACGUUCACGUGAGCAAACACACACGUACACACUGAUAUCCCACAGUGCCAUGGACUCAAAUGUGCCCUGCCCCCCAGACUCAUACGUUAAGGUCCUAAUCCCCAAUGUGGCUGUAUUUGGACCUUGUGGGAAGUAAGUACGGUUAAAUGAAGUCCUAAGGGUGGGGCCCUAAACUAAUAGGACUGGUGCCCUUAUAGAAGAAAAGAGACACCAGAGAUUGGUCUGUUUCUCUCUCAUUUUCUAUCUGCAUGUGAGGAGGAAAGGCCAUGUGAAGACACGGUGAGAAGGCAGCCAUUCCCCAAGCCAGGAGGAGAAUCCUCACCAGAAACCAAAUUUGCUGGCGCCUUGAUUGUGGACUUCUAGCCUCUAGAAUUGUGAGAAAAUAACUGUCUGUUGUUUCUGCCA